UACGUAGGGGGCGAGCGUUGUCCGGAUUUAUUGGGCGUAAAGGGCGUGUAGGCGGCUUAGUAAGUCGGGGGUGAAAACCCAGAGCUCAACUCUGGGACUGCCUCCGAUACUGCUGAGCUUGAGUAUCCUAGAGGGCAGUGGAAUUCCCGGUGUAGCAGUGAAAUGCGUAGAGAUCGGGAGGAACACCAGUGGCGAAGGCGACUGCCUGGGGGAAAACUGACGCUGAGGCGCGAAAGCUGGGGGAGCAAACGGG
rnacentral:rRNA from 1 species